rnacentral:lncRNA from 1 species
AUCCAAUUCAACUCCACCACCACUACCAUCACACUAUCAAGAUUUACAUGUUCCAAUUGCCCUUAGGAAAGAUAGCGGAAACUGUACCAAACAAACACUUUAUCCUCUAUCAACUACCUAAGUUUUGAACACGUUUCACAUACCCAUAAAGUCUUCCUUACAAAUCUGAACAUUAUAAAACUACCUAGCUCUCUAUCUUGAGACAUUGUCUGACAGGAAAU